rnacentral:rRNA from 1 species
AAACGAUGUCAACUGGUUGUUGGGGGAGUGAAAUCCCUUAGUAACGAAGCUAACGCGUGAAGUUGACCGCCUGGGGAGUACGGUCGCAAGAUUAAAACUCAAAGGAAUUGACGGGGACCCGCACAAGCGGUGGAUGAUGUGGAUUAAUUCGAUGCAACGCGAAAAACCUUACCUACCCUUGACAUGUCCAGGAUCCUGCAGAGAUGCGGGAGUGCCCGAAAGGGAAUUGGAACACAGGUGCUGCAUGGCUGACGUCAGCUCGUGUCGUGAGAUGUUGGGUUAAGUCCCGCAACGAGCGCAACCCUUAUCAUUAGUUGCUACGCAAGGGCACUCUAAUGAGACUGCCGGUGACAAACCGGAGGAAGGUGGGGAUGACGUCAAGUCUUCAUGGCCCUUAUGGGUAGGGCUUCACACGUCAUACAAUGGUCGGUACAGAGGGUUGCCAAGCCGCGAGGUGGAGCCAAUCCCAGAAAGCCGAUCGUAGUCCGGAUUGUUCUCUGCAACUCGAGAGCAUGAAGUCGGAAUCGCUAGUAAUCGCGGAUCAGCAUGUCGCGGUGAAUACGUUCCCGGGUCUUGUACACACCGCCCGUCACACCAUGGGAGUGGAAUCUGGCAGAAGUAGGUAGCCUAACCGCAAGGGGGGCGCUUACCACGCUGGGUUUCAUGACUGGGGUGAAGUCGUAACA